rnacentral:lncRNA from 1 species
ACCGGUUCUGCUGCUUGCCCAUGCCAGGACGGCCCACGGGCGCCGCAGGUCCAUCCUUCACCAGAGACUGCACCCACGACAAAUCCGGCUCGUUCGUUGCGCCGGUGGCUGGAGCUACCCCUCCGAUGGCGGCCUGACUGCUGCGGAAGGCGAAAGAUGCCGACUUUCUCAGCUUGUUCAGCUCCUCUCCUUGAAUACCCCAGUCCAAUUUACCGUCCGGCGAGCCCCAGUCGGACAUGAGCGACGGCGGGGCCGCCGCUGAUGCCGCGGUCGACAUGGCAGAGAGUGUCGAUUGGCGACCAGCGGUCGCCCCUCGGUCGCAGAAGCUCUGGCUGCGCUUAGCGAACGCGGAAGCCCUGGAAUUCAUGAUGGCCUUUGCCAGUGAGUGGUCGAGCCCGAACGACGAUGCGGCGCUAACAGGAGGGGAAGAAGACAGGCCCCCACCGUAUCCAGACAGCAAUUGAGACUGGUGCAUCUGGAUUGCAGCAGGGGAUUGCAUCUGAGGCCCCGUCUUCUUCCUCGCGGAGAGCCCCUGCAAUUGGGUUAGCAGCGAUGGAUCGACAGAACCCAACAGAUCAGUGUAGUCUGGAGCUCGAGUGGUUGCCGCGGCUAAGUUGUUCGUUCCCCAGCUGGCCCGCGGAGAGGCCGUUUUUGCGAUUUCGUCGACAAGCUUCUGCUGAUACUCUUCUAAUCCGAGCAACUUGAGGUCGAAAUCCAAGUCUCUGGCACUCAGCGAAGCCUUGAGCCUGCUGCUCGGCAGCUGUAAGGCCGGAGGAGUCACCACGCCGCCCGUCUGAUUCAUCCAUGCCGCUGCGGACCCUAUGCCCGAUGAAGCCGAGGGGGACAUGGGGGAGCCGGGCUGCUGCAUCAGCGUCAAGGCCAUGGCCAUGUCCAAAGAGGAAAGGCCUUGUGAUGACGACGGCAACACCAUUCCGGCAACCGAUGCUGCAGUGGGGUUCACCGUCCGCAGCUCCUCCGGCUUGUGGGCGAAGAAGCAGACCCGGCGGUUGCAGCCAAUCUCAUCCUUGCAGAGCCGGGUCCGGUACUGCGCCGGGUGAAGCCAACUCUCGAACACGCCGUGGGCAUAUUCGCAAGCAUCGCCGUUCCGGCAAGAACCUUUCCGGAACU